AGGAAUAACGUUUUAUAAAGCCUCAUAUGAAGCAGACAUUGCAGUAUUGAUACAAUGCAGGGUGUAGAGAAUAGCGACAAAAUGCAACAAUCAAAUUCUCCCAACAGCAGGAUAGAAUUCUGGUACCGCAUGCUAAAAACUCCCUCUGUAAGGCCCGUGUAUUAAUAUUUAGAACUUACGCGUCAAAAGGUUAAUGAUACCAUGUCGUGUUUUGACUGAUGUAAUUUCUAUGCUAUUAUGGCAAAAAUUCACAAGCUAGCUAACCAACAACUCUAAUGAUGUAUUUGAGGAGACAAGUGCUCAUUGUGCAAAUGUAUGUUUUCAAUAAACAUUUGGAGAAUAUAAUUGACAUGUCAACAGUCUAAGGGCUAACCCCGCCCCCCCCCCCCCCCCCCCCCCCCCAAUCUAUUUUCCCCCAUAGUUGCACACGUGUUGGUUUUGUUCCUAAACAAUUAGUCUAUAAAACUGAUUGUUGUACAGCAAUCAAUUAAUAGUUGGAUCAACAUGAGUAGAUAGACACAUUAAACUACUGUUGUGAGUCAACUAAAAGAGAGGAGUGUGCCGAGGACUGAGGUGAAUUAUAAUACAGAAGUGAAUUGGUGUUGAAGUUAUUGCAAUUUACAACCAAAUACUGUCUGAAUAAAACUUACUUUUUUAUUUAACCUUUUAUUUAACUAGGCAAGUCAGUUAAGAACAAAUUCUUAUUUACAAUGACAGCCUACCCCGGCCAAACCCCUUCGAGGCUGGGCCAAUUGUGCACCGCCCUAUGGGACUUCCAUUCGCAGCUGGAUGUGACGCAGCCUGGUAGCAAAUCCUUUAAACUGUGGAGGGACACCGAAGAGCCUUCACAAACUCCAAACCCUGGAUAGAGGGGCUCAGUGAAUUUGGUGUGGUGGUUCAGUGCGUCAGAGGAGACUGUGAAAGGACAGAGUGCCACCAGACCAGUCCAGAUACAUAGAAAGGUAACCAGAUACACACUUAUUCUGCAAGAGUGGGAGGAGGGGACUUGUUAGGUAGUCUUUUCAUUAUUGUUCCAGGCAAUGUAGUUGCCAUCAGGACAUGCCAUUGCAACCGAGCCAGGUACAGUUGAAGUCGGAGGUUUACAUGCACUUAGGUUGGAGCCAUUAAAACUUGUUUUUCAACCACUCCACAAAUUUCUUGUUAAUAAACUAUAGUUUUUGCAAGUCGGUUAGGACAUCUACAUUGUGCAUGACACAAGUAAUUUUUCCAACAAUUGUUUACAGGCAGGUUAUUUCACUUAUAAUUCACUGUAUCACAAUUCCAGUGGGUCAGAAGUUUACAUACACUAA
rnacentral:lncRNA from 1 species